rnacentral:Y_RNA from 1 species
GGCUGGUCCUAUGGUAGUGGGUUAUCAGAACUUAUUAACAUUAGUGUCACUAAAGUUGGUAUACAAACCCCUACUGCUAAAUUUGAUUGGCUUUAA